CCGGAAGUUCUCCCUGGAGAUCGUUGUCACGGCCUCCCGUCAUUUUAGCCUUUUCCGCCGUUCGCUGGAUCUCCAGUGUGGACUACCUGGAAGAAGAGAUUUGCGUUUAACGAAAAAACUUCAAAGGCAGACAACAUUUCUUUGCAAGAGAGGAAAGCAGAGGUCUACAGGGACUAAAGUCGCCUAAGAGGAUGUUGCUGUUGCAGUGGCUCGGGGGAGGAGGAGACAUAUCGGCGACGGAAUGAGAAACCCGCUCCCCAUAAAUAACGGACAUUUCUGAACCCCCCCGCUAUCUGUGAGGCCAAAC